CGUUCUUCUCAAACAACCCCACAUACAGAUUGGCAUAAUCAGAUGCUAUUUUUUAAACUGCAAACUGCACAUUUUAAAUGUUUUCUUUACUCAAGUAUGACAAUUGGGUACUUUUUACAUCACUGUUUCUUUUACACCUGCAAUGUAAAAUAAACAGAAGAAUGCAUGAUGGUCAAUGCUAUCUGGUAUCCUUGGGACAUCCCUACCCUAAACCCUAACUUUAACCCCUAACCUUAACCCCUAACUUAACCAUUUGAAAUGUCAACUUCAACGGGCUAGGGGCGUCCCAAGGAUGUAUCUCUACCUAAAAAUAUAUGAUCUAAGUGAUUGAUAGUUGGUAUUCAGCAGUCAUAAAGCCUAAUUUACUUAAUGAAUUACUAAAAUAGUAAUUUUGUCAGACAGCAGCUCUCCACUUUAUUGACUGACUGAUCCAUUCAUCCUUCCAUCCCUCCUCAGCCUUCCUCUCCUCUGAGGACCCAGUGAGGCUGGAGAGCAGUCAGAGAGCUGUUGAGGGACUGGUUAGGAAGAACACUUCUACAGCCAGAGAGUGGCCUGACUGCAUCCAGACUGUCAUAGGCCCAUCCUGGUAGAUCUGAACCGAAUGCAGUUUGGAGUGAUCGGAUGACAGAAGUCACAUUUAGGGGAAGUCAAGAAAUGGAACAGCAAGGCCACAGAACAUGACAUAAGCAGAGCUGUGGGAGACCACCUCAAGCCCCUGGUAGAGCCGGGGGUGGUGUUUAACACUCCCCCACGCCUUCAGCAGGCUGGAAAAGUGGAAGAUAUACUGAAUUUAUACUGUUUUUCAUACUAAGAUGGAUCAUGCACUAUAUUGACAAGGUUGAAGAUAGCAUGAAAAACAGUAUAAAUUCAGUCAAAGCUGGACCAAGAUAUGCCUUUGCACAUAUUUGUUCAUUGGUUUAGCAAGUCUGUUGAUUGGUUGGUCACUGGGUUCAUUUGUUUUGCAAUAUGAUCAAA